rfam:Hordeum vulgare subsp. vulgare, WGS project CAJW01000000 data, contig: morex_contig_1558777
CAAGUACUCCUUCCGUUCCAAAAAUUUUGUCUUAAGUUUGUCUAGAAAUAAAUGUAUCUAAAUAUUAAAAUAUGAUUACAUACAUUCAUAUCUAGACAAAUCUAAGACAAGAAUUUUGAAACAAUGGGAGUACGUA